CCAGAAAUCCCUCCGUCUUAAAGAAGCACAGAACCUUACCCUCAGUGGAGGAUCAACCCAUAAACAUGACACUGAAUCCAGAGGACAUUGCAGAGAAGACCAUGGGCAUCUAUACAGUCCGAGCAGAGGGUCAUGGUUCUGAUGGAUGCUUUGCUGAUGGUCAUGGUUCUGAUGGACGCUUUGCUGAUGUCGGUGUUGUGCUGGAAGGCGUGGAAGUUCUCCGUAACCUGCAGAGUGUCAGCCAUGCAUGCGUGAUGCUUUAUGGACUGAUCUACGAACUCAACUUGAGCUAUCCAAAAAGCCUGAG